CAGUAGCCACGGUAAUACGUAGGUGGCAAGCGUUGUCCGGAAUUAUUGGGCGUAAAGGGCUCGCAGGCGGUUUCUUAAGUCUGAUGUGAAAGCCCCCGGCUCAACCGGGGAGGGUCAUUGGAAACUGGGAAACUUGAGUGCAGAAGAGGAGAGUGGAAUUCCACGCGUAGCGGUGAAAUGCGUAGAGAUGUGGAGGAACACCAGUGGCGAAGGCGACUCUCUGGUCUGUAACUGACGCUGAGGAGCGAAAGCGUGGGGAGCGAGCAGGAUUAGAUACCCCCGUAGUCCCUGUCUCUUAUAC
rnacentral:rRNA from 1 species